UGGUGACAUUGAGGUGGUUGAUCCCACUUCCACAGCAGGCUGCAGGCACCCUGGGAGAAGAAUGAGGUCCUGGUGCUCUAUCCAACCCUGCAGCCACACCAGGCAUGCUCAUCCAGGGAGAUUGUCCCCAGACCAGGAGAGCAUCAGCACGGUCUGCAAGCAGAACACCGAGCAGAGGGACCUACAGGCAAAAUGACCUUGGAGGACAUCACCACAUACCGUACGUAGGAUAAGCAGGUGUGCCUGGACAUGAAUCAACAAAGCAGUUCUCAGGUGGAUGAACAAGACAGGUUGUAUUAGCCAGCUGUGGACAACACCCCAGACAACACCUGAGAACAAGUGCCAAGAGCCACUGGUGCCUGUGUAGUUCAGUGUGUAAUGUAUCUACUGGAUCUUGUUCUUCCUUUAUAGGUAUCUAGUCCACCCAAGUGCAAAUAAAAUAGUAUUUGCUAAAAAAAAAGUGUAUUCUAUGUUGUUAGUCAAUAGUCUGGUAUCUGCUUCUGUCCAGGAGAGUCAUCUACAAAUGAAACCCAGUUUUGCUGCAGGAGUAGAAAUCAAUGUGCUAGUGCAAUAUGAGAGCUCUCUUUUAACAAGAUCUCUCUCCUUUCUUCAACAUCCAUGUUCUCUUCAACAGAAAACAAUUUGCAUGUGCCUUUUGCUCUCUUCUAAAGGAUAAAAGUAAGGCCUACCCACUUGUCAGAGAAGUGUCUAGGUUACUUGAACAGUAAGAGAAGACCUCUAAUUUUCCAUCAGUGUGCAUCACUCUCCCAGAAAAGAUGGUAUGGGACAAUUGGUGCUGCUGCCCUGGAAGGUGACCCUGAGCAUCCAGUGGGAUGUGAAUGAGAAUUCCUUUUGUGGCAGGUGUGCUGGACAUUUUGCAGCAUCACUGAGUGCAGGAGAAAAGAUCAGCAGAGAUCACUGGGCUUCUUGAGAUUUAUGCAAGAAUGGUUAGUGCUCUGUGAGACGUCACAUUUUUUUGGAAGAGCUGGUUAUUUCACACCUCCUUUCAUUCCAAAUUUGGAAAAUAAUAGAAAUAUCAAAACUAAGCUUAUUGAAGUCCUCUGUUUACAUCCUGGUGUUUGGAUGUUUUAUGGGAUUCAUAUAAAAUCAAAAAGGAUCAAAAGUGCUUGAUAGUGCUGUCAAAGUUUCAGUGAAACCAGUGAUUAUGUGAAACAUUUCCACUCUUGUCUGUUCUGCUAGGAAGAUAAAAAAAAUUGUCAGUUUUAAGAAGAAAUGAGCUACCAUCAACAUCAGCUGUACACUCCAGGCUACUAGCAGUGUCUUCUUUUGGCAGCCAGGUACCACCACCAGCCUCCUAUCAUUUCUGCAACAGUUUUUCUCCACACAGAUGGAACAAGGCAUGGGCUCUUGCGGAGACAAGAAAACUCCAGUGUUAAUUUUGCCUUCCUUUUCAUUCUUCCCUGUUUAAAGGAGGAUGGGGAGUUCUUGUUUGCACUGAGGAUCUCCUUGGCAAGGUGCAGCAACAGCAGUGGCACAGAAGAAUGAGCUGUGAGCUUACAGGUCCUCCUACCUAAUGCCUGUAAGCAUGGUGAAACAGGAGGUGUGCCAGCCUUACUUUCUUCACAAAGUCUAUCCUAGGGUCUCAGAGGUUUUAUCUACAGUAUCCUCAGAGCAGGAGGUAAAUAAGGCUGGUGGCUAAAAUUGAAGGGCUUCUCUUAUCUUGUUUAUGCAGUGGUUUAGGGCUGCUCACAGGGAUGUGAACAUCUACCUGGAAGUACAUACUGACGUUCCACUCUACAAGAGAUGCUAAACCACUUAAGUAUCAUGAAAUAAGAAGUUCCUCAAUUUAUUAAUUUUUAUUUUAGUCUAUAUUUUAUCUCUUUUCAAUUGUUGGUUUUCAAUCUGGGGAACACCUGGAGAUUACCCAAGAUUUGCUAAAUCAAUUUUCAACCUCCGUGAGUAAUUAUAAAAUUGAAUAGUUUAAGAAGAAAAAAUGGAAAAAUCCUUUUUUGAGAGGAAAAAUGAAUUAGCCUUGGAGCUUGGUGUUCUCUCCCAAGCAACUUGUGAAGUGUCUCUUACAAUGUGGGAACAGCAAUUUGAUUGUAUUAUAAAACAGACUGGAAAAAUGCACAAAUCAGACUGACAGGCAGUUCCAGUCAGCAGUGGUUACAAAACCUCCA